rnacentral:rRNA from 1 species
UAACGGUCCUAAGGUAGCGAAAUUCCUUGUCGGGUAAGUUCCGACCUGCACGAAUGGCGUAAUGAUGGCCACGCUGUCUCCACCCGAGACUCAGUGAAAUUGAAAUCGCUGUGAAGAUGCAGUGUACCCGCGGCUAGACGGAAAGACCCCGUGAACCUUUACUACAGCUUGGCACUGAACAUUGAACCUACAUGUGUAGGAUAGGUGGGAGGCUAUGAAGACGUGACGCCAGUUGCGUUGGAGCCGUCCUUGAAAUACCACCCUUGUAUGUUUGAUGUUCUAACUUAGACCCAUUAUCUGGGUUGAGGACAGUGCCUGGUGGGUAGUUUGACUGGGGCGGUCUCCUCCCAAAGAGUAACGGAGGAGCACGAAGGUGGGCUAAUCACGGUUGGACAUCGUGAGGUUAGUGCAAUGGCAUAAGCCCGC